rnacentral:lncRNA from 1 species
GAAGAGUGCUUUUGUAUUGGUCGAGGUUGACCUUCCACCCACCUCUAACCCAGAGGAUGAAUGAUAGAUCUGCCCUGAAGCCAAUCAGAAGUCCUUAGGGUGAGGCCCACAAAUGCCCCAGAAAUAGCAUAUACAUUGCGCCCUAAGUCCAGUCUCGCCCAGGUGUGGCAGGAGCUUUUACCUGCUCUUCGGCAGUAGCCGGCUGCCACUCAACCCCAUGCCUGACUGAGCUGUGGUAGAAGGAUUGAGGCCAGCACAGAGGAGGAUCAGCAGGAAAUGUAAGGGUUGUCCUCAUCUAAUCCGUCAGUACCAGACAGUGAACAUCUCUCCCCCAGGAUGCUGAGGGAGGGUCCUGGAGGGAAGGAUGUGGAACUACAGCCUCUGCUCUCAAGAAGCUCAGAUCUGGGCAGGGAACAUCACAUACCAGGGCUGUCUGUCGGGGGGGUGGAGGGCUGGGGGAGGGAUAGCAUUAGGGGAAAUACCUAAUGUAAAUGACAAGUUGAUGGGUGCAGCAAACCAACAUGGCACAUGUAUACCUAUGUAACAAAUCUGCAUGUUGUGCACGUGUACCCUAGAACUUAAAGUAUAAUUAAAAAAAAAAAAAGCUUCAGAUCCCU